AAAAAAGGUAAGCUACUAAGAGCGAAUGGUGGAUGCCUUGACUGGUAAAGGCGAUGAAGGACGUACUAGACUGCGAUAAGCUACGGGGAGCUGUCAAGAAGCUUUGAUCCGUAGAUUUCCGAAUGGGGCAACCCAAUGUAUAGAGAUAUACAUUACCUAUAUAGGAGCGAACGAGGGGAAUUGAAACAUCUUAGUACCCUCAGGAAAAGAAAUCAAUAGAGAUUGCGUCAGUAGCGGCGAGCGAAAGCGCAAGAGGGCAAACCCAGUGCUUGCACUGGGGGUUGUAGGACUGCAAUGUGCAAGAGGUGAGUUUAGCAGAACAUUCUGGAAAGUAUAGCCAUAGAGGGUGAUAGUCCCGUAUGCGAAAAACAAACCUUAGCUAGCAGUAUCCUGAGUAGGGCGGGACACGAGAAAUCCUGUCUGAAGCUGGGUCGACCACGAUCCAACCCUAAAUACUAAUACCAGAUCGAUAGUGCACAAGUACCGUGAGGGAAAGGUGAAAAGAACUGAGGUGAUCAGAGUGAAAUAGAACCUGAAACCAUUUGCUUACAAUCAUUCAGAGCCCUAUGUAGCAAUACAGGGUGAUGGACUGCCUUUUGCAUAAUGAGCCUGCGAGUUGUGGUGUCUGGCAAGGUUAAGCAAACGCGAAGCCGUAGCGAAAGCGAGUCUGAAUAGGGCGCUUAGUCAGAUGCUGCAGACCCGAAACGAAGUGAUCUAUCCAUGAGCAAGUUGAAGCUAGUGUAAGAACUAGUGGAGGACUGAACCCAUAGGCGUUGAAAAGCCCCGGGAUGACUUGUGGAUAGGGGUGAAAGGCCAAUCAAACUUCGUGAUAGCUGGUUCUCUCCGAAAUAUAUUUAGGUAUAGCGUUGUGUCGUAAUAUAAGGGGGUAGAGCACUGAAUGGGCUAGGGCAUACACCAAUGUACCAAACCCUAUCAAACUCCGAAUACCUUAUAUGUAAUCACAGCAGUCAGGCGGCGAGUGAUAAAAUCCGUCGUCAAGAGGGAAACAACCCAGACUACCAGCUAAGGUCCCUAAAUCUUACUUAAGUGGAAAACGAUGUGAAGUUACUUAAACAACCAGGAGGUUGGCUUAGAAGCAGCCAUCCUUUAAAGAAAGCGUAAUAGCUCACUGGUCUAGUGAUUUUGCGCGGAAAAUAUAACGGGGCUAAAGUAAGUACCGAAGCUGUAGACUUGCACACAACUUAGAUUAUUUAAGUUUAGAAUAUGAGAAACUAAGUUAUAUGUUUAGUUAUAUUUUUACUGAUUUUUAUAGAGUAAAGAUAGAAAUAAAACUUAGUAAAAUCAGUAAAAAUAUUCUUAGACUAAAGUUAAGUAGUUUAAGUUGUGUGCAAGUGGUAGGAGAGCGUUCUAUUUGCGUCGAAGGUAUACCGGUAAGGAGUGCUGGAGCGAAUAGAAGUGAGCAUGCAGGCAUGAGUAGCGAUAAUUAAUGUGAGAAUCAUUAACGCCGUAAACCCAAGGUUUCCUACGCGAUGCUCGUCAUCGUAGGGUUAGUCGGGUCCUAAGUCGAGUCCGAAAGGGGUAGACGAUGGCAAAUUGGUUAAUAUUCCAAUACCAACAUUAGUGUGCGAUGGAAGGACGCUUAGGGCUAAGGGGGCUAGCGGAUGGAAGUGCUAGUCUAAGGUCGUAGGAGGUUGUACAGGCAAAUCCGUAUAACAAUACUCCGAGAACUGAAAGGCUUUUUGAAGUCUUCGGAUGGAUAGAAGAACCCCUGAUGCCGUCGAGCCAAGAAAAGUUUCUAAGUUUAGCUAAUGUUGCCCGUACCGUAAACCGACACAGGUGGGUGGGAUGAGUAUUCUAAGGCGCGUGGAAGAACUCUCUUUAAGGAACUCUGCAAAAUAGCACCGUAUCUUCGGUAUAAGGUGUGGUUCGCUUCGUAUUAGGAUUUACUCCGAAAGCGAAGAAACUUACAACAAAGAGUCCCUCCCGACUGUUUACCAAAAACACAGCACUCUGCUAACUCGUAAGAGGAUGUAUAGGGUGUGACGCCUGCCCGGUGCUCGAAGGUUAAUUGAUGGGGUUAGCAUUAGCGAAGCUCUUGAUCGAAGCCCGAGUAAACGGCGGCCGUAACUAUAACGGUCCUAAGGUAGCGAAAUUCCUUGUCGGUUAAAUACCGACCUGCAUGAAUGGCGUAACGAGAUGGGAGCUGUCUCAAAGAGGGAUCCAGUGAAAUUGUAGUGGAGGUGAAAAUUCCUCCUACCCGCGGCAAGACGGAAAGACCCCGUGGACCUUUACUACAGCUUGACACUGCUAUUUGGAUAAGAAUGUGCAGGAUAGGUGGGAGGCUUUGAGUAUAUGACGCCAGUUGUAUAUGAGCCAUUGUUGAGAUACCACUCUUUCUUAUUUGGGUAGCUAACCAGCUUGAGUUAUCCUCAAGUGGGACAAUGUCUGGUGGGUAGUUUGACUGGGGCGGUCGCCUCCCAAAUAAUAACGGAGGCUUACAAAGGUUGGCUCAGAACGGUUGGAAAUCGUUCGUAGAGUAUAAAGGUAUAAGCCAGCUUAACUGCAAGACAUACAAGUCAAGCAGAGACGAAAGUCGGUCUUAGUGAUCCGGUGGUUCUGUGUGGAAGGGCCAUCGCUCAAAGGAUAAAAGGUACCCCGGGGAUAACAGGCUGAUCUCCCCCAAGAGCUCACAUCGACGGGGAGGUUUGGCACCUCGAUGUCGGCUCAUCGCAUCCUGGGGAUGGAGCAGGUCCCAAGGGUAUGGCUGUUCGCCAUUUAAAGCGGUACGCGAGCUGGGUUCAGAACGUCGUGAGACAGUUCGGUCCCUAUCUGCCGUGGGCGUAAGAAGAUUGAAGAGAUUUGACCCUAGUACGAGAGGACCGGGUUGAACAAACCACUGGUGUAGCUGUUGUUCUGCCAAGAGCAUCGCAGCGUAGCUAAGUUUGGAAAGGAUAAACGCUGAAAGCAUCUAAGCGUGAAGCCAACUCUAAGAUGAAUCUUCUCUAAGCUCUCUAGAAGACUACUAGUUUGAUAGGCUGGGUGUGUAAUGGAUGAAAGUCCUUUAGCUGACCAGUACUAAUAGAGCGUUUGGCUUAUCUUUAAUAAAGCAU
rnacentral:rRNA from 1 species